rnacentral:rRNA from 1 species
GACAGAGGGUGCAAACGUUGCUCGGAAUCACUGGGCGUAAAGGGCGUGUAGGCGGGAAGGAAAGUCAGAUGUGAAAUCCCUGGGCUCAACCCAGGAACUGCAUUUGAAACUCCCUUUCUUGAGUGUCGGAGAGGAAAGUGGAAUUCCUGGUGUAGAGGUGAAAUUCGUAGAUAUCAGGAGGAACACCGGUGGCGAAGGCAGCUCGCUGGGACGUGACUGACGCUGAGACGCGAAAGCGUGGGGAGCAAACAGG